rnacentral:lncRNA from 1 species
ACCACUCAGAGGUUGGAUGGAGCAUUGAGGAUUUCAGGCUUGGGGUGGCCACGUGUUGCAGGAUAGCAGGAAGAGUUGGAUGUGUUCUGCAGAGACGAGGUGAUCAAUGUCGUUGCCGCCAGGUAGAUGAAGUACAACACUUCUAAAUUUUCUCAUUUAUUUAUCCUCAUAGUUGGUUCCCUUGAUACUUUUUCUUAGAAACAUGAUCAAAGAUACAAAAAGUUUUACUUCUGAAGCAGAAGUGGCAGUAUAGUGUGCAUGUCGUAUUGCAAGUAGAUUUUAUAGAUACCAAUAGAAAUAAUAACUUGGGAUUUAUUUCUGUUCAACCUCUGUGAUCUAGAUGAGCAAAGCAACAACUUUGGCUUUAUUUCUUUGUGAUGUAGAUGAGAAAAACAGUACCUUGGAUUUUAAUUUUGUUCUCUAUGAUGUAGAUUAGCAAGAUUUCUAACCAACAAAGUAAUUUAUUUUAGUAUGGUUUUGUCACUAUGAUUGGUAAUAUGAAGUUUAUUUAUUCUAGGUUCCUAUCUUUAGACAGUCACAUCCACGUUCGUACUUUUAGAAUAGUUGUUGCAGAGCAUUUUUGCAAUAGCAAGAUAUCAGGACCCAAUGGGCAUAGGCCGAACCAACCACCAUCACUAUUGCUUCAGGAUUAGAUAGCCAACAUCCACUCACGAGGUGAGUUUGCUUACUCUACUUUCAGUGUACUAUGCAGAUAUGUUGGUUAGAAAUUUUGCUAUGUUCCUGUCAAGUUGAUUAGAUAUGAAAAAUAUGCUCUAUAAUACCCACAUAAUACUUGUUUAAAUUGGCUUUUCCCUGGUUCAUCGGUGCACACAUGAAACCGGUAAUAAGAAGAGAAUCACCUGAUUUUUUUAUAGUCUAUUUUAGUAAGCAUGUUCAUAAUAUUAGGAUAGUUUAAUUUGAGAACAAUUGGCUGGAGGAACGAUGUAAUUUGAUACUCUGUUAUGUUGAUCUCCAGAGAAAUCUGGUUUUUGGUUUUUCAUUGAUGUACGUUAAUCUGUUGUGAAUCUUGUUUGCUUGCACCAAUUAUAUGUGUAACAAUUAGAGGGGAACUUUUGGAACUCAUACAUUCUAUUUCAAUUAAUGUUCAAAGCAACUUUCCUGUGUGAAUCUGAUAAUCUCACUGAAACAUGUGUUUCAUUGUGUAUAUUCAGCCUGUCGAGUCAAGUUUCAGACGAUCAUGUAUCCCCUUGAUAUUCACUGGAUGGAAUCCCCUGUUUUACUUAGACUGAACCUUCUACAAACAUCGGAAAAGCAACAGUAAUAAAGAUGGACAGAAAUUCCAAAAAUAAG